UACGGUGGGGGCAAGCGUUGUUCGGAAUUACUGGGCGUAAAGGGCUCGUAGGCGGCCAACUAAGUCGGAUGUGAAAUCCCCAGGCUUAACCUGGGAACUGCAUCCGAUACUGGAUGGCUUGAAUCCGGGAGAGGGAUGCAGAAUUCCAGGUGUAGCGGUGAAAUGCGUAGAUAUCUGGAGGAAUACCGGUGGCGAAGGCGGCAUCCUGGACCGGCAUUGACGCUGAGGAGCGAAAGCGUGGGGAGCGAACAGG
rnacentral:rRNA from 1 species